UACGGAGGGUGCUAGCGUUGUUCGGAAUCAUUGGGCGUAAAGGGCGCGUAGGCGGUCCUGCAAGUCAGGUGUGAAAUCCCACGGCUUAACCGUGGAAUUGCGCUUGAAACUGCAGGACUUGAGUACGGGAGAGGGUAGCGGAAUUCCGAGUGUAGAGGUGAAAUUCGUAGAUAUUCGGAGGAACACCGGUGGCGAAGGCGGCUACCUGGACCGAUACUGACGCUGAGGCGCGAAAGCGUGGGGAGCAAACAGGAUUAGAUACCCUGGUAGUCCACGCUGUAAACGAUGAGUGCUAGGUGUCGCGGGUAUUGACCCCUGCGGUACCGCAGCUAACGCAUUAAGCACUCCGCCUGGGGAGUACGGCCGCAAGGUUA
rnacentral:rRNA from 1 species